CUCCCUACAGAGCAAGCAACUGACUUUACAGAGGAGCAGCUGCCACCAAGACCCCAGGAACCAUCUGUAUGCGUAACCACGUGCACUUUGAUUCCAGUGGGAAAACUGAGCACACCAAGACAAGUGGAGGCUGCAGGACCUUCCCUCUCCUCAUUCCCUGCCCUCCCCUCCUCAGCUGGCCCCUUCCCAUGAGUCACUGUCUCUGCACAGGCAAGGUGGCACCUUGCUGGCCACUGAAGCCG